GGUACUAUAGUGUAGUGGUUAUCACUCGGGAUUUUGACCAUCGGGUGAUAUAAAUUCCCGGAACCCAGGUUCGAACCCUGGUAGUACCU